AGAGGGGCGGCUCCUGGAACUUCCCCCUCUGAAGCGUCGGUCGCAUCGAGCAGCCCUUCUUCCUCCACUUUAAAACCUUUCCCCUGAUUUACUCGUUUUAUAAACACUUUAACCUUAGUUUCUUCUUGUAUUUAUACUUUUACAACUUUUUUUAUCGUAUGGACGCAUUUUAAUCCUGGAGUAGAUAAGGUAAGAAAAGGCCGUGCCCUUCCUCCUGAACUCUCGCUUCCUGCCUCUUCGGCCUGUCCACUUCCGGGUCGUUGCCCUCGCCGCUCACCUCAGAGCACAGAUCUGCCGAGGUCCUCAUCGCAAUCGGGGCAAUGUAUUGGGGUCGUUUACCGCCGCUGACCAGAGCAUAGAGCUGAAGGCCGACGGUGGUGGCGGUGGUCCUCCUGGGUGGUGGUGGUGAUCCCUUGUGUGCGUGUGCUUUGUUUUAGAUUUUAUUAGUUUGGACUUCACGUUUUUGCUGUGUGUGUGCGGUGCCCUUGUUUCUUUUGUUGGAUUUAAUUUCCCCCUGACGACCACUCUCCCAGCCGGUAAGCCUCAGCUUGUACCCACUUCCUUCCCCAGUUGGGCUUACUUCUCUUUUUCCUCUUUUUGUGCCAAACUGUUCAUAAUAAUAAAAUGCUUUGUUAUUUUUGAACUCUGUCUCCCGCCCUCCCUGAUUGAACGAACCUGAGUGUCUUAUCGUCAGAGGUGACAAUCAUAAUCACAGUGUAUAGGUCCUUGGGCCCUAACCCAAGGUGGCGUUGUCGGUAACAUAGAGAAGAUACUCUGACAUAAAUUGUAAAGCCUCCUCGUGUCGCCACAUAUAUAUAUAUAUAUGGCCUACUUUACAGUUGGCUCAGUUUGAUCCUUGUGUGUGUGUGUGUGUGUGUGUGUGUGUGUGUGUGUGUGUGUGUGUGUGUGUGUGUGUGUGUGUGUGUGUGUGUGUGUGUGUGUGUGUCAAGUCGGUUCAGUUCUGUAACUUCCUCGUGUUAAAGUUGAUUUCCUCAUCUCAACGGCCUGUUGCAGCAAGCAGCCCUUCUUUCUGCUCCUUCAAAACCGUUCACCUUAACAACUUGUUUAACACUUUAACCUCCUUUUCUUCCCUUACAUUUAUACUUUCAUAACUUUAUAGCGUAUGGGACGGAACGUAUUUUCCCCAGUCUACUAUGGAUGAGGAGAGAGAGGAGGGGGUUCCUACCUCUAAGACCACUCUGUCUGGGGAACAUGGCCACCGGAGAAAAGCUAAGAGGCCAGAGCAGCAGGAGAGAGCAGAAUCCCCUGGACCCAGCCGUGUCUCCAUGAAGAGCAUACGUAACCUGUUUAGAAAAAAGGAGCAAAUUCAUGAACAAGGAAGACUCCAGAAGCAGAGAGCAGACACCCCUGGACCCAGCUGUGUCUCCACGAAGAGUUACUGGUCUAUGGAACAACGUCAUAACUUUAAAGAUGGAAAUCACCAACCUUCUAAGCAAAGACAACACCAGGGGUGGUCAAAGGUUACCAGUGCUCAGUCUGUACACCAGCAUCAAACA